GACGAACGCUGGCGGCGUGCUUAACACAUGCAAGUCGAACGGAAAGGCCCUGCUUUUGUGGGGUGCUCGAGUGGCGAACGGGUGAGUAACACGUGAGUAACCUUCCCUUGACUUUGGAAUAACUUCAGGAAACUGGGGCUAAUACCGGAUAGGAGCUGCUGCUGCAUGGUGGGGGUUGGAACGUUUCGGCGGUUGGGGCUGGACUCGCGGCUUAUCAGCUUGUUGGUGGAGUAGUGGCUUACCAAGGCUUUGGCAGGUAGCCGGCCUGAGAGCGUGACCGGCCACAUGGGGACUGAGAUAGGGCCCAGACGGCAACGGUGGGCAGUAGUGGGGAAUAUUGCACAAUGGGCGGAAGCCUGAUGCAGCAACGCCGCGAGCGUGAUGACGGUCUUCGUGUUGUAAACCGCUGUCGCCUGUGACGAAGCGUGAGUGACGGUAAUGGGAAAAGAAGCACCGGCUAACUACGUG
rnacentral:rRNA from 1 species